UACAGAGGGUGCAAGCGUUGUUCGGAAUUAUUGGGCGUAAAGCGCGUGUAGGCGGCUUUGCAAGUCGGGUGUGAAAGCCCUCAGCUUAACUGAGGAAGUGCGCCCGAAACUGCAGGGCUUGAGUACCGGAGAGGAUGGCGGAAUUCCCCAAGUAGAGGUGAAAUUCGUAGAUAUGGGGAGGAACACCGGUGGCGAAGGCGGCCAUCUGGACGGAUACUGACGCUGAGACGCGAAAGCGUGGGUAGCAAACAGG
rnacentral:rRNA from 1 species